rnacentral:rRNA from 1 species
GUCGAACGCUUCUUUUUCCACCGGAGCUUGCUCCACCGGAAAAAGAAGAGUGGCGAACGGGUGAGUAACACGUGGGUAACCUGCCCAUCAGAAGGGGAUAACACUUGGAAACAGGUGCUAAUACCGUAUAACAAUCAAAACCGCAUGGUUUUGAUUUGAAAGGCGCUUUCGGGUGUCGCUGAUGGAUGGACCCGCGGUGCAUUAGCUAGUUGGUGAGGUAACGGCUCACCAAGGCCACGAUGCAUAGCCGACCUGAGAGGGUGAUCGGCCACAUUGGGACUGAGACACGGCCCAAACUCCUACGGGAGGCAGCAGUAGGGAAUCUUCGGCAAUGGACGAAAGUCUGACCGAGCAACGCCGCGUGAGUGAAGAAGGUUUUCGGAUCGUAAAACUCUGUUGUUAGAGAAGAACAAGGAUGAGAGUAACUGUUCAUCCCUUGACGGUAUCUAACCAGAAAGCCACGGCUAACUACGUGCCAGCAGCCGCGGUAAUACGUAGGUGGCAAGCGUUGUCCGGAUUUAUUGGGCGUAAAGCGAGCGCAGGCGGUUUCUUAAGUCUGAUGUGAAAGCCCCCGGCUCAACCGGGGAGGGUCAUUGGAAACUGGGAGACUUGAGUGCAGAAGAGGAGAGUGGAAUUCCAUGUGUAGCGGUGAAAUGCGUAGAUAUAUGGAGGAACACCAGUGGCGAAGGCGGCUCUCUGGUCUGUAACUGACGCUGAGGCUCGAAAGCGUGGGGAGCAAACAGGAUUAGAUACCCUGGUAGUCCACGCCGUAAACGAUGAGUGCUAAGUGUUGGAGGGUUUCCGCCCUUCAGUGCUGCAGCUAACGCAUUAAGCACUCCGCCUGGGGAGUACGACCGCAAGGUUG